GACAGAGGGGGCAAGCGUUGCUCGGAAUCACUGGGCGUAAAGGGCGCGUAGGCGGGAUGGCCAGUCAGUCGUGAAAUCUCUCGGCUCAACCGAGAAACGUCGGCUGAUACUGCCGUUCUUGAGGGAUGCAGAGGAGACUGGAAUUCCCGGUGUAGCGGUGAAAUGUGUAGAGAUCGGGAGGAACACCGGUGGCGAAGGCGGGUCUCUGGGCAUCUCCUGACGCUGAGGCGCGAAAGCGUGGGGAGCAAACGGG
rnacentral:rRNA from 1 species